GACGAACGCUGGCGGCACGCUUAACACAUGCAAGUCGAACGGAGUUAUCGAGAGCUUGCUUUUGAUAACUUAGUGGCGGACGGGUGAGUAACACGUGAGCAAUCUGCCCUUAAGAGGGGGAUAGCAGUUAGAAAUGACUGAUAAUACCGCAUAAGAUAGUAGUACCGCAUGGUACAGCUAUAAAAGAUUUAUCGCUUAAGGAUGAGCUCGCGUCUGAUUAGCUAGUUGGUGAGGUAACGGCUCACCAAGGCAACGAUCAGUAGCCGGACUGAGAGGUUGGACGGCCACAUUGGGACUGAGACACGGCCCAGACUCC
rnacentral:rRNA from 1 species